rnacentral:ncRNA from 1 species
UACUAUGCUGUGAAAUGGAGUAGUAAUAUUCCUUAUAGUUUAAGAGAGUUGCUGGUUGGUGAAAAGCAAUACUAUAAUAAUAUGAACUCGCCAUGGAGCUUAUCUGAAGAAAAUCAGAUACGUCAAUUACGUUAUAAUUUUGAGGUGAGAUGCCUAUGCAUCUAACUAGAGUGGUACCGCGGAAUAUACUCCUUUCGUCUCUAUA